rnacentral:rRNA from 1 species
GACGUAGGAGGCGAGCGUUGUCCGGAUUCAUUGGGCGUAAAGAGCACGCAGGCGGUUUGGCAAGUCGGAUGUGAAAACCCGAAGCUCAACUUCGGGCCUGCAUCCGAAACUGCCCGACUAGAGGUAGGUAGGGGAGAGCGGAAUUCCUGGUGUAGCGGUGAAAUGCGCAGAUAUCAGGAGGAACACCGGUGGCGAAGGCGGAUCUCUGGGCCUUACCUGACGCUCAGGUGCGAAAGCUAGGGGAGCGAACCGG